UACGUAGGUGGCAAGCGUUGUCCGGAAUUACUGGGCGUAAAGGGCGUGUAGGCGGCCUUUUAAGUCAGACGUGAAAUCUCCAGGCUUAACCUGGAAACUGCGUUUGAAACUGGAGGGCUUGAGGAUCGGAGAGGGCAGUGGAAUUCCCAGUGUAGCGGUGAAAUGCGUAGAUAUUGGGAGGAACACCAGUGGCGAAGGCGACUGCCUGGACGACACCUGACGCUGAGGCGCGAAAGCUAGGGGAGCAAACGGG
rnacentral:rRNA from 1 species